AUUGAACGCUGGCGGCAGGCCUAACACAUGCAAGUCGAGCGAGCGGCGGACGGGUGAGUAAUGUCUGGGAAACUGCCUGAUGGAGGGGGAUAACUACUGGAAACGGUAGCAAAUACCGCAUACAAUCAGAUGUGCCUAGAUGGGAUUAGUUGGUAGGUGGGGUAACGGCUCACCUAGGCGACGAUCCCUAGCUGGUCUGAGUGGAUGACCAGCCCAACUGGAAAUGAGACACGGUCCAGACUCCUACGGGAGGAAGCCGUGGGGAAAAUUGCACAAUGGGCGAAAGCCUGAUGCAGCCAUGCCGCGUGUAUGAAGAAGGCCUUCGGGUUGUAAAGUCCUUUCGGCGGGGAAGCGUUACCCGCAGAAGAAGCACCGGCUAACUCCGUGCCAGCAGCCGCGGUAAUAC
rnacentral:rRNA from 1 species